CAGCUCAAUGUGGUAUCAUCUAGUCAGCUAUGAAUUGUAGAGGGGAGCCCAGAUAGAGCCUCACUUUAUCUUUUCCCAUCUCAAAGUGGGCAAAAAAGCCCCCAAUUUUCCCUCCACACAAGCAGUCUACAGAUAGGAACCCCACUCUCUGGGCCCAUCUCUCUGUAAUUGAGUGGUGAGUGAACAUCUCUGCUUUGCUUGGUUCAUCAUGGUGGUGCUUAGUGACAUCUGUCAGAUGUCUUGGAGUGUGCCAAGUGCUGGGAGUACCAGGGGGGCAGAUGGCAUGGACCGACUGCUCCAGCAGCCUGGGCUGGAACCUGUGCUCAUCCAACUAUUGUCACUGGCAUAAUACAGUCAACAGCAUUUUGAUACCUCAUGCUGUGCCCAUGAUUUUUACAUAACCUGAUGCUAACUGAAAUGUAUACUUUCUUUCUUUUGUCACUAAAUUGACAUACCUUGUUUAGGGGAUAUGUUUAUUUUCAAAGGAAGAUUUAUGUCACUGCCUUCCAUGGGAACUCAAUAGCAAUGCCAUAAAUACAUGGGGAUGAUAAAAAUAAAGUGGGAAAAAUUCAUGAGCUGUUCUUGCUUCUGAAGCCUCUGAGCUUGGAGCUGGUGCCCUUUGGGCUAAAAAGGAAGAUCAUUGUGGAAAAAAAGGUGUUCGAGAUACACUGGCACCAAACCCAGACUUUCUCCCUGAUAUUGUCUGAAAGAGAGAAAAUUGAAGUGGGCAUAACUGUCUCACAAGGUGGCCGAAUGCUGUAUCUGUAUUACCUAAAAUCAUCUCAUCCAUGGACCCCAGGGAUCUCUCCUCCAUUUCGGAAACACUGGUUAGGCUAAUCCCAGGAUAUUUUGUGCUUUUCCCUUUUCUGCUCCUUGACCAUCUGCCCCAUGCAGUGUCAUCAACAGUCAACUAGAACCACUUGAGGCUAUUUAUUCUUAUUUCCCUUUGUGUUCUUAGUGCCAAGCACCAUGGUUGGUGCCCACAGAGCAGCAGCUCUGUGUUUUUCUGUCACUUGUGUGAUUGAAUGAAGAUGUGUCCUCUCUGACGGUGCAUGGCCAUGGGUAGUCCGUAGGUCAAGUGUAUGUGAAGUAGGGUUGGGUCCAGCUGCCUGGGCGUGUGCUUGGUGAACAGAGCUUUGAAUGGAUUUCCACCUCCACCCACCCUUGGCUGAGGGCUGUUCUUGUGCAAGGAUAACUCACAUAGCCACACACAGCUGCUCUGUGCAAAGGUAAGGGACAUUCAAGUUAAUAGAUAAAUAGAGGAUUUUUUUUUUUUUUUUGCAAGUUCUAGGGGUAAGCAGAGAAGCUCGAUCUUGUCAUGUGUGCCUUAGAUGGAUUCUCUUUGUUCUAAGGAGCACCUGUGACGUAACCUGUAAUUGCCAUUGAGAGAAAUUGAAUGUAGAAGAAAAAUAGAUUUUACAUACAUAUUUAAAAGCAUGCUUACUAAAGAGAUUUGGGCGCAAUUAGUUCAUAUGAUCAUCUCUUGUUUUAGGAUAAGGAUAUCAAAAUGAGUAUUUCUUUAACAGAAGAGUGUUGAGUGGUGCUGCCUUCCUUCCCUUCUUUACUCCUUCCUCUCCUUUCACCCCUUGCCACUUCUUCUCCUCUCUCCCCUUUCCUUCAGGGGAGAAAGUGCACGCACCCCCAAGUCUCCAGUCACAGAAGAGUUUUCCUCAUAGUUCAGGCACUGGAAGACCACAGUCACCAUCAUGAAAUGUGUGGAAACCCUUCAGAGAAAGUCAAGUCAGGAAGAGUUCAGAGUCAAUGCCUAGCAUCUCUCUCUUAAAGAUGGAGAAGCCUGGAAAGAAUGAAUGACUUAUUUCAGGCACACUGCUUGUGGGCUGUGAUCCUACGUGUAUGGACACAUGUAAUGUGUACUGUGUAUGAGGUAACGAUGGUUUUAAAAGCCAAUAGGAAUAAUAGGAUUAGGAACGUGAAGGGUAAGAAUAUUCUCAGUGAUAGAACGGUCCCAAUUUGUCAUUGGGAAAUAUUUGUUGAGCCAGCUUAUUGGAGCGAUGUGGCAAAAGGCUGAUUUGCGUGAGUUUAAGAGAGAGUGGAAGGAGGGGAAAUGGAGAAGAGGGUAAGACUCAUCGUUUCUGUAGAUUGGACGAAAGAAGUAAGAGUUGGGGUUGGGGGGAUAGGUUCAAAGCUUUUUUUUUAAACUGGAGGAAGUUAUAGCACACUUUCUGUUUAUGAAAAUGAUCCCAUAGAGAGGGGAAUGUGAAUGAUGUAAGGGGAGGAGAGUCACUGGACUGAUACAUCUGGGUAGACAGGAGGGGAUGGGAUCAGGGAGUAUGUGGACCAAUUAGCAAGCAGUACCUAGGAGUAGGCGGGGUAUCUGUGGCAACAUGAGUCAGGGCAGGGUAUCACAGGACAAAUGCUUAGAGAUGCUCUCUUCUCCGUGCAUUAACUUCUCAGAGAUCUAGGAAGUGUAUUAGUUUCCCAGAGUUACUGAAGCAGGGUACCACAAACUAGGUGGCCGUGCUAGUCAGGGUCCUCCAGGGAAACAGAACCAAUAGCAUAUGUAUCGAUAUAGAAAGGGAUUUUUUUGUGUGUGUGUGUGUUUUUGAGGGCUGCUCCCAUGGCGUAUGGAAGUUCCCAGGCUAGGGGUUGAAUUGGAGCUGUAGCUGCUGGCCUACACCACAGUCAUAGCAGUGUGGGAUCUGAGCUGCGUCUGCGACAUACAGCUCACAGCAAUGCUGGAUCCUUAACCCAUUGAGCAAGGCCGGGGAUAGAACCCUCCUCCUCAUGGAUCCUAGUCUGGUUCAUUAACCACUGAGCCACAAAGGGAACUCCCAGAAAGGUAUUUAUUGUAAGGAGUUGGCUCAUACAAUUACGGAGGCUGAGAAGUCCCAAGAAAUGCAGGAAGCAUGCAGCAGACCCAGAAGAACCCACAGGCUAGCUCCAAUCGGAGUCCGAAGGUCUGAGAACCAGCAGAACUGAGGGUGCAAGUUCCAGUCUGAAAGCUGGAAAAGGCUUAAAACAGUAGAAAUGUAUUCUCCCACCAUUCUGGAGGCUGUAAGUCUGAAAUCCCAGUGUUAGCAUAGUUAGUUCUUUCUGGUGGUCCUGAGGGAGUGCCUGCUCCAGGCCUCUUCCUUCUCUGGCUUUGGGUAGUUGCUGGUGGCCCUUGGUGUUCUGCUUGCAGAUACAGCACUCCAGACUCUGCUUUCAUGGCCACAUAACAUAGUCCCAUGUGUGCCUGUGUCAUUUCCCAUUUCUUAGAAGGACACCAGUCACUGGGUUAAGACUUAGUCUAAUCCAGAAUAACCCCACUUUAGUUUGGUAAAUAUAUGGAAAGGCUUUAUUUGCAAAUGAGGUCACAGCCACAGCUUCCAGGGGUUGAGACUUCAAGCAUAUCUUUGGAAAGAUACAGUUCAUACAGGUGAUGCUGUACUUCUUGUCUUCAUCAUUUAGGAAUGAUGAAGAAAUACCUCUGGUAAUGUCUACAAAGAGAAAUAAAGCCGAAUGUCAUUUCUGAUCUGUUGCAGUUCAAUGGUUCGGGAUUUCUAAAGGUAAAAAGAUGCUAAAGAUAUUGCAGGUUAUGAAUUGGAAUCCGUCCUUGCAUGAAUAUUUGGAGAUAAGGCAUCAGUGUAAGUUCUUGGCUUCACUCUCAUCUUCUGUUAUUUUAUGUUGUGGUAGCAAAUCUGACGAAUUACUAAUGUAUAGCUUUGAUCUUGUUAGACCCUCCCAAGAGAUUCUCAUCAACUCCUCUUGGAUGGCAGAAUAUAGUCAAGUCUUUCCUCACCUGACCCAUCCUCUUCUGCUGUCUACCUUUUUGAACUGCAUAUUUCAGCCAAACUAGACCCCCUGCUGGCUCCUAAACACAAGAUUUCCUUCCCUCCUCUGGGUUCUUCCUUGUCUUGUCCUUAGGUCUGUUAACAUCCUGUUAUCUCAUCUGACCUUCCAGGCCCUGAUCAGAGAAUGUCUCUUUAAUCAGGCUUCCCUCGAGUCUUGUGAUUUGCAAAUGUAAGAACCUGUCGGUCUCAUGUGGAGAAGUUGCUAGAAGACAAAUUACCCAGCGCCAUCCGCAGAGCUGGAGCCUGAGAUCCUGCAAUUCCAAUGAGUUGCAAGUGAAACCCAUGCUGUGAGUCUGGAAUCUACACUUUGAGGACCACCGAGCUAAAGGUUUAAAGUCUUCUUAGUUACACUGACAGUUUUAUCACAUUGCAGGCAUGAUAUUAGCACAUAGUUAUUGAGCAGUAAUUAUUUCUCUAAUGCACACAGAUCUAUAUGCAUUAGAUCACACGUGUUGGAUAGAUGACUCAUUCCCAAAUCACAAGAUUUACAAUGAUUGACAUUAUGUUGAACAUAAUUUAGUCUUGGAUGAAUCAACCAGUACCUCUGUUCAGUUGCCUAAGGUGUAUCAUUAUAAACGUCCAUCAUAAUUGGAUGGUACUCUAGAAAAAAGAUUAGGUCAUUUGAACUUUGUGCAAAUGCUGAUAAAGCAGAGAUUUUAAAGAGAAAGGAGACUUCAGAUUUGGAACUUGUAUACUAAGUGCGUGUGGAUGUAAUUAUGGCAUUUAUUGGAACUAUAAGAGAUUUAGCCAGACCUUUUGACCUAGCUCUUGUGUUUGGUGCAGAUUUGGGCUUGUGCUGGGAGGGACGUAUCUUGUAAGAGGCUCUCUGGAGGAGCAGAGGGGCAAGGUGAGUCUGGACAGAUUGGGCUGUUUCUGAGCAAACGUCCUCAUGGGCAAGAAGGGGUCAGCCUCUCUUGCAGCCUUGUGCUGCUCCUUUCAGGGCUAAGUCCAGGACAAACAAAUGACCCACACGCAGCUGCCUUUGCUUAAAUCAGCUCAACAGACUGUGUUUUCCUACGGCCAGAUAAAAUCUGGCAUUUGUUUUGCAUCUAGCAACUUUUGCUUUUAGGAGAGCUUGUUUAUCUGUUUCUUUUUUAAAGAAGCUGGGAAUCUUGCAUGAUUGAGUUUUAGCAUAGUGUUGCAUUAAAAGGAAAGUAUCAUUUUAAUAGAUUGGGAAUGAAAAUGGUUCUGUUUUUUUCAAGGAUCAUAUCAUCUGUGUAUAAGUGGUAUGAAAAUGUAGAGGUGUCUUUUACUUUCAACUUCCCUUAUAGUCAUUUCUUUCCCCCCGCCCCACGCCCGGCACCUCCCUUGACUUCUCUUUGAUGUUUCCUCUUCAUCUUUCUAUUCAAACAAUUUGACUUCAUAGCUUUAAAUGAGGAGCAAUUUCCUAAUGGGACAGAAGAAUAGCAGCGUGAGUUAGUUCUGUUUCUCUGAUUAGAGCUGUAAGGGUCCCCAGCUUUAAGGCUCUGCCUUCAAGGACUAACUGUUCCUUGGUCAGUGUUCCACUCCCCACACCUCCCCAUGCCCCCCCCCACCCCAUGCACUCUUGUUUUGCUUGUGGAAAACCCAGAAUUAGCAUUCCUUCCCAGGGUGAGUAAGGUGGGGGCACAGAUCCUUAGGCUGAAGAGAGGCAGAACCGAGCUCAGGGGUGGCAAGAGUUGCUGAAGGUCCUGAAACUGAGUGGGGAGUGAAUUUUCACCCUCUCUUUCCAAACAUGUGCAAACCAGAGGGGUGAGUGUGUGAAUGAGCCAGUGGUUAAAGAGAUUACAUGCACUUUCUUUGGACAGAGUUUUUGCAACUGACCUUUACAGAGAGUCUGGCUUCUGGUUGGGGGCCUCAGUCUCUGUAAAGGCUAAUUGAGCCUCACUGAGCUGGCUUGGCUCUUCAUGUGGUCCGUGCAUGUGUUUCCUGGCCCUCCCCCUCCAGACUCAUGUCCACUGCACAGGGAUGGACCCGUUUCUCUUCCAUGUCUCUCUCUGAUGCCUGCAGACCAUAAGAGAGCCUUCCCUCCUCUGAAUUUUUAGUGCAUGCAUAGCCUCCAUCACAUUUUUUGGCUCUGUCUGUUUGAAACUGAAGUGGUCAAAAUUAAUUUCCAUUUGGGCAUUCAAAAUACAUUUACUUGAGAAUAAUUAAUAAACAUAUACACAGAAUGAAUGCAAUGUUUUUCAUUUGCCAGUUAUAGCAA
rnacentral:lncRNA from 1 species